rnacentral:misc_RNA from 1 species
UGCGAUACGUAAUGCGAAUUGCAGAAUUCAGUGAGUCAUCAAAAUUUUGAACGCAUAUUGCACUUCCGGGUUAGUCCUGGGAGUAUGCUUGUAUCAGUGUCCGUUAAUACAAACUUGUUUCAUUUAUUUGAAGCAGAAUGUGGAGGUCUUGUUUCGGCAAGUCCUUUUAAACGACACUACCUGUACGUCCUCGUGGGAUAUACAAUAUAAAGGUGACUAUGAUUUCAAUUUCUAAGGUUCUGUUCGACUGUAGCAGCUUGGAAAGAGGAAUACAUUGCGGUAGUUUUGCUUGAGUUUCGGCUCGAGUGAACAUCAAUAUUGCUUUUUGUUUCUCUGGACGGGUUGUGGCGGAAGCGCAGGAUUGGAAGUUGUAUUUUAGUUGCUGGUGUAUUCCUUGGCGUACGGAGGCAAAUUGGGAACUAUAUCCAAUUUGGACCUGAUAUCAAGCAAGACUACCCGCUGAACUUAAGCAUAUCAUUAAGCGGAGGAAAAGAAACUAACAAGGAUUCCCCUAGUAACGGCGAGUGAAGCGGGAAGAGCUCAAGCUUAAAAUCUCCAUGUUUUGCAUGGCGAAUUGUAGUCUAUUGAGGCUGUUGUCAGCAUAGCGAUCCGGGACAAGUCCCUUGGAAAAGGGCAGCAUAGAGGGUGAUACUCCCGUCUCUGCUCGGAUUUGCCGUGUGUACGAUACGCUUUCUUUGAGUCGAUUUGUUUGGGAAUACAGAUCAAAGUAGGUGGUAAAUUCCAUCUAAAGCUAAAUAUUGGUGCGAGACCGAUAGCGAACAAGU